UACGUAGGAGGCAAGCGUUGUCCGGAAUCACUGGGCGUAAAGCGCGUGUAGGUGGAAGAGGAAGUCUGCUGUGAAAGCGCCUGGCUUAACCGGGCGAGGUCGGUGGAAACUCCUCGUCUCGAGGUCGGUAGAGGGGGGUGGAAUUCCGGGUGUAGUGGUGAAAUGCGUAGAGAUCCGGAGGAACACCGGUGGCGAAGGCGGUCUGCUGGGCAGUUGCUGACGCUGAUGCGCGACAGCGUGGGGAGCAAACAGG
rnacentral:rRNA from 1 species